rnacentral:rRNA from 1 species
ACGAACGCUGGCGGUGCGCCUAAUGCAUGCAAGUCGAACGGACCUUCCGGCGCAAGCUGGAAGGCUAGUGGCAGACGGCUGAGUAACGCGUAAGUAACCUUCCCAAAGGUGGGGAACAACCCCGAGAAAUCGGAGCUAAUACCGCAUGUGGUCCUUCUUCGCAUGGGGGAGGACGAAAGCCUUCGGGCGCCUUUGGAGGGACUUGCGUCCCAUCAGGUAGUUGGUGAGGUAACGGCCCACCAAGCCGAUGACGGGUAGCCGGUGUGAGAGCACGACCGGCCAGAGGGGGACUGAGACACGGCCCCCACUCCUACGGGAGGCAGCAGCAGGGAAUCUUGCGCAAUGGACGAAAGUCUGACGCAGCGACACCGCGUGGGGGAAGAAGGCCCGCGGGUUGUAAACCCCUUUUCUGGGGGAAGAACUAAGACGGUACCCCAGGAAUAAGCCUCGGCUAACUACGU